rnacentral:rRNA from 1 species
GAUGAACGCUAGCUACAGGCUUAACACAUGCAAGUCGAGGGGUAACAAGAGGAAAGCUUGCUUUUCUUGUUGACGACCGGCGCACGGGUGAGUAACGCGUAUCCAACCUGCCUAUAACUAGGGAAUAACCUUGCGAAAGUAAGACUAAUACCCUAUGAUUUCCUUUGAUGACAUCAGAUUAGGAAUAAAGAUUUAUCGGUUAUAGAUGGGGAUGCGUCUGAUUAGCUUGUUAGCGGGGUAACGGCCCACCAAGGCAACGAUCAGUAGGGGUUCUGAGAGGAAGGUCCCCCACAUUGGAACUGAGACACGGUCCAAACUCCUACGGGAGGCAGCAGUGAGGAAUAUUGGUCAAUGGGCGGAAGCCUGAACCAGCCAAGUAGCGUGCAGGAUGACGGCCCUAUGGGUUGUAAACUGCUUUUAUACAGGAAUAAAGUUAGCCACGUGUGGUUAUUUGUAGGUACUGUAUGAAUAAGGACCGGCUAAUUCCGUGCCAGCAGCCGCAGUAAUAC